rnacentral:rRNA from 1 species
UACGUAGGGUGCGAGCGUUGUCCGGAAUUAUUGGCGUAAAGAGCUUGUAGGCGGUUUGUCGCGUCUGCUGUGAAAAUCCGGGGCUCAACCCCGGACUUGCAGUGGGUACGGGCAGACUAGAGUCAGGUAGGGGAGAACGGAAUUCCUGGUGUAGCGGUGAAAUGCGCAGAUAUCAGGAGGAACACCGGUGGCGAAGGCGGUUCUCUGGGCCUGUACUGACGCUGGAGGAACGAAAGCGUGGGGAGCGAACAGG